AUAUCAGGAGGAACACCGAUGGCGAAGGCAGGUUACUGGGCAGUUACUGACGCUGAGGAGCGAAAGCAUGGGGAGCGAACGGGAUUAGAUACCCUGGUAGUCCAUGCUGUAAACGGUGGGCGCUAGGUGUGGGCUGUGUGUUUGCAGUCUGUGCCGUAGCUAACGCAUUAAGCGCCCGCCUGGGAGUACGGCCGCAAGGCUAAACUC
rnacentral:rRNA from 1 species